rfam:Oryza glumipatula chromosome 12, whole genome shotgun sequence.
AAUAAGUGUACUUUUAUACUAUUCAUAUUCAACGUUUGAUUGUUCGUCUUAUUUAAUUUUUUUUAAUAAUUAGUAUUUUUAUUGUUAUUAAAUGAUAAAAAAUAAAUAUUAUUUUAUGUGUGAUUUUUUUUUAAAAAAAUUAAUACAUCUUUUAAAUAAGACGGACGGUCAAAUAUUAGACACGGAUAUCCAUGGUUGCACUUGUU